rnacentral:lncRNA from 1 species
UGAAACGUGAAAAUUGGCGACAGGCGCACGGUGUCUAAAUCUAGGUGUCCACCAAUACUUCCACCUCCCGCCUCCUUCAGUGUCGUGAGUUCCUCCAUUACCAGAUGAAAUUGAUUUUCUUUUUUCUCAAAAUUUUAUUUUUUAGAUUCUAUCAAAAUCGAUUUCUUUCUUCACAAAAAUUGAUUUGUUGAAAUCGAUUUUAUUGCUUCUUUUCUCAUCUGUGAAAUCCAUUGAUUAUUUGAAAUCGACGUUGAAGGAUUCAGAAUCGGAAGUCACAGGUUAAUCAAAUCGUUAAGAGUUUCAGUCUCAAUAUUGAAAUCGAUUUGGAAGUUCUGGAAUCGGAAUUUGAAAACGGUAAUCAUUCAGAAGCAAAAACGAAACUGAAAUUGGAAUCGGAGCUUGCAAGCAUUCGGUGAUGUAGGCUCGUAUGUUACAACCGAUUCACAUUCAGAGUUUUGGAAUCAGAACUUAAAAUCCUUCGAAUCAAAAUCGGAGAUAUGCGUUUGGUGUUCAAGGCUCGGGUUUUUCGUCUCACAAUCAAUUUUUGAAUCUCAAAAUUGAAAUCGCUUUGAAAUUCAUAAACGAUUCGAAAGCAGAACAAUCUCAUCGAAUCGUUCAGAAUUUGGAUGUCAUCGGAACGCUGGGCAGUGUUGAUUCGAUGGCAAACUUGAUUUUGACUUUUACAAGUCAACUACGUGUUUUAUCAGAUUAAAUGAAGAAGAUGACUUCAUUUACAAUUUCAGCCCUCGGAAGUUACAAAGAUUGACAGAAUUAUCCCUGUUUCUAAAUCCUUUACUAAUCCAUGGUUUUAACCAUUCAGGGCAUCUCAUGUUUACAAUCAACGCCAACAACCAGAUUUUGAUCAGAACCGACAGUUCCGAACGCAAGGAUAUCUACCACAAUGUUAUGGACAAUUUUGGCGACUUAUCUACUCUAAUAAAUGAAGGUUUUUUGUCACAUGUCCUCUUCUUCUUCAUUUGGACACAUGGCAUUUUCUAAAAUUUUAAAUUUUCUAUUUUCCACUUGUCAUUUUAUUGUAUUUUUCAUUUUAUGAAAUUAAAAUUCCACAUUUAAUAUCUAAGGUAAUAUAUAUGUAAGGUAUUUAUUAGAAAAUGGUUUAUAUAUGUAAUGUAUCCAAUACAUUAAAGUCUUAUUAAUUUUAAUAAUUCAAAAAAUUUCUCAUUUUUCUUCUAAAUUCAAGCUUUUCAAAUUGUUAAAAUUUUAUAUUUGAUUUUUUUUUUAAAUAAACUCAUGUAAUAUAUGGGUCUCACACCUAGUGGUUCUAAUAUAGGACUAUGGUAAAUGAGAGGAAGCAAAACCAGGACCUCCAGCUGGAUGCGGUAAUGAAUGUUUUUGUAAAAUUCUUCUACUUUCUUUUAGUUGGCAUUGACAUAUUGGGAACGUUUGUGCUUGAAAUUGGAAUGAUUUAGUGCUAACAUUCUACUGUUACUUUUUUUGGAAUGAUUUUAGUGCUAACUUGCUAGUGUUAAUUUUACAUUCCAAUAUUCUAUCUUUGACUUCAAUUUCACCAUUCUACUCAUAAACUUUUUUUGCUAUUAAUUUUAUUUUUCUUUUUCAUUGUCGACUAUUUAUUUUUUAGUUGUAAUCUAAGUUUUGUAUUAUCUAUGAAAAAUGAAUAGUAUGAAUAUUUGUUUUUGAAUCUCGAAAUUGUAGCUAGUUGGUUUGUUUAUCAACCAUAGUAAAUUUAGUUUAUUCAACAUGAUAUAGGUUUUAAUUGCUACCUUACCUCUUUGUUUAUAUAAUUUAAUUUUAUUCUUUGAAUUGCCUUGUACUUUGUUGUGGCAAUUUAUGAACUAACAACAUCACAUGGUUGAAGUUAUUUGCUAAUAUAUGUAUUUCUUGAGAUUUUACAUAAUUUUUUUGUCCUCUAAAUGUUCGAUGAAAUGUUUAUAAAAUCUCAUCUCUUUCAUUGUAGUUUUAGGAUUACAUUCUAUUCUGUCAGAAUAUAUUCUGCCAGAAUAAAAUCUAUGUAUUCUGUCAUAUUCUAUGUAUUCUACCAGAAUAUAUAAAGUGAUAAUUAAUUGCAAGUAACAUGUUUUUAACCAUUAUUAGUUGUUGUUGUAUUUGUGAUAGGAAUGGCUGGAAGAAUGCAUUGAAGACCUAAUAGGAAUAACUUGAAGAAUGAAUAACAUUUGAUCAUACUCACAAUUUUAGAAUGUUGUUAUUUUUUUAGAAUUUUAUUCAGUUUUGUUGAUAUUCUUUUAGAAUAUGUAUACUUAUAUUAAAAUGUAUAAGGCUUUUAAUCUGUAAGAAUAUGUAUGAAUUUGUAGUUAAGUUCGGAUGUAUAAGAAUAUAUUAGAAUGUUGUUAUUUUUUAACCUCGGAUUCAAUAAUGUUGUUAUUCUUCAAUAA